UGGGGUGCUCGAGUGGCGAACGGGUGAGUAACACGUGAGUAACCUGCCCUUGACUUUGGGAUAACUUCAGGAAACUGGGGCUAAUACCGGAUAGGAGCUCCUGCUGCAUGGUGGGGGUUUGAAAGUUUCGGCGGUUGGGGAUGGACUCGCGGCUUAUCAGCUUGUUGGUGGGGUAGUGGCUUACCAAGGCUUUGACGGGUAGCCGGCCUGAGAGGGUGACCGGCCACAUUGGGACUGAGGUACGGCCCAG
rnacentral:rRNA from 1 species